CCUACGGGUGGCAGCAGUGAGGAAUAUUGGUCAAUGGGCGGAAGCCUGAACCAGCCAAGUAGCGUGCAGGAUGACGGCCCUACGGGUUGUAAACUGCUUUUAUACGGGAACAACGCGCCUUACGUGUAGGGCUCCGCAUGUACCGUAUGAAUAAGGACCGGCUAAUACCGUGCCAGCAGCCGCGGUAAUACGGAAGGUCCGGGCGUUAUCCGGGUUUAUUGGGUUUAAAGGGAGCGUAGGCCGCAUGUCAAGCGUGCUGUGAAAUGUCCGGGCUGAACCCGGGGCUGGCAGUGCAAACUGGCGGGCUGGAGUGGGCGAGAAGCAGGCGGAAUGCGUCGUGUAGCGGUGAAAUGCUUAGAUAUGACGAAGAACCCCGAUUGCGAAGGCAGCUUGCUGCAGCGGAACUGACGCUGAGGCUCGAAAGCGCGGGUAUCGAACAGGAUUAGAUACCCGUGUAGUC
rnacentral:rRNA from 1 species